rnacentral:rRNA from 1 species
GGAUUGAACGCUGGCGGCAUGCCUAACACAUGCAAGUCGAACGGGAGUAGCAAUACUAUAGUGGCGGACGGGUGAGGAAUACGUAGGAAUUUGCCCUUAAGUGGGGGAUAACCCGGGGAAACCCGGAUUAAUACCGCAUGACCUCGAAAGAGCAAAGUGGGGGAUCGCAAGACCUCACGCUUUUGGAGAAGCCUACGUCGGAUUAGCUAGUUGGUGAGGUAAUGGCUCACCAAGGCGACGAUCCGUAACUGGUCUGAGAGGAUGCUCAGUCACACCGGAACUGAGACACGGUCCGGACUCUACGGGAGCAGCAGUGGGAUAUGACAUGGG